ensembl:lncRNA
AACCAGCACAGGGUUGUCACAGAACGGAGGAGGUUCUGACUGGCCAGCAUAGAGGACACCAGGAGAUAAGACUAGAACAUUAUUGAUCCUCCUUGGGGAAGUUGGCUUGCCACAUCUGUGGCUUCAGUUAAAAGCAGUGAAAACAGAUAAAAAAGUAGAUUAAACAUAAAGUGUAAAUUCCAGAAAAUGUGAACAUCCAGCUGAAAAAGAAUUACACAGGGAAGGGAAGUGGCUUCUUGUGUAAAUGAAGGGUUUUGGGUAAAUCAGGCGUAGAGAAGGAAGGACAGGAAAUCCAGUUUGGACCAGGAACAACCAGAACCUCUACAGAUGAAAAAGGACCAGCAGGAACACAAACUUCAACCAGAAGAACCAGAAGUUAGACUGAUGUUACGGGAGCGGGAGGAACCAGAACCUCAGAAAACUAAAGAGGAACAAGGGGAACCCAAGAUUCAAGGUGACGAGCAGCUUGUACUAAAGCAGGAGACUGGGAUCUCCGUGGUGACUCCUGCAUAUGAGGAGACCUCCCUAGGUGACCCAGAACUGAAGACUGAACAAAUCCCCUCCCCUAACCAGGAGCAGGAAGGAAGCAGGAAUGAAGACUCAGGAUUAAGAAAAGAUGAAGAGCUGAGACGAAAUCAGAGAUUUUUACUAACCAGAGAUGAUGCAGAUGGUCCAGAACUAAAAACAGGCCCGAAUGUCACAGAUGCUGUUCCGACGCAUGGUCUGAACUUUCCGGAUGUUUAGGAACGUUUCCACACACAGGUACAACAUGAGGAAUACCACACGGUGUGUACGUUAGCUCCUACGCACCACAUACGCUCAGAUCUGUGAGUAAGUACUGUUAAUAAAUGAGGCCUCUGGUCAUUCAGUAUAUUCAGGUAGUCAGCUGACCUCAUUCUUGGAACACAUCCUGUUGCUGAACCUAGACGUGACCAGUUGCAGCAAGCCCAGAUCAUAGCACUGCCACCACAGGCUUGUACAGUAGGCACUAGGCAUGAUGGGUGCAUCACCUCAUCUACCUCUCUUCUUACCCUGAUGCACCAUAACUGUGGAACAGGGUCUAUCUGGACUCAUCAGACCAGUUUUAAUAAAGUGUUGGAGAGUUCUGAACCCAGUUUCUGCAUCUCCUUAGGUGUUUGUUUCUGCUUGAUGCAUGCCAAUGACCCUUCUCACACAGACUAACAUCUUUUCCAUGACCACCAGGUGUGUCUUUCCACCUGGUUGUUUAAGAAAUGAGAAGCAGCUCAUUGAACUAGUUGGGUUAAAUGACUUGUUGCAGCUGAAAGAUGAUCACUGUAGGAUGUAACAUGUUUAUGCAUUUGGGUGCUUCUAAAGCUUGAUAUACUACCCUACACUUUGACCGAUGUGAUGUGAAUUUCCAUAUAAAUAUGGAAAUCCAGUCUGAUUGGUCUUUGAAUGUUUAACCAGAAGAUUCAGAAUUCUUUGUUUAUUCAGGGAUUUUAAAACACUUCAUAUUAAUUCAAGAAGAGAGUCAGGUUUAUAAAAAGUAAGAAAUGUAUUUUCUAAACAAUUAAAAACAUGACAACAAGGACAAUUUAUGUGAUGAAUGGAUCUGUGUGGAUGGAACGUGAGGUGUGAUGAUGUGUGAAUGUGAUCUUAUCAGAACCUUCGUAUCUGAAGAAACUGAGUUCUGAGUGGGAGUGAAUUUGGUCUGCAUUAAACUAACAAAGUUGGUUCUUAUCAAAAACACAUUCGACUCAGUCUGUCGAGUCUAUGUACCCUGCUCGAAUACCCCCGUGGUAGAUCCGGAAUGUGUUGAGGUCCGGGGAUCCCAGAGUAGGGGUGGGCAAUAUAAACGAUAUACGGUAGAAACUAUAUAAAAUUGGGUAAUGAUAGAGUUUUUGGCUAUAUCGCAAUACCGCGACAUCGCGAUAACACAUGACGUCACUAAGAUGUGCACCCUGCUGACAUCGGGGCAACAGAAUGGCAGUGACUGCAAGCGUGGAGUGAACCGGGGAGGAGACCUAUAUGCCUCAAGUGGCAUAUAAAUGAUAUACAUGAGGAUAUUUAAAAGCAUGUCAUUUUGACAUAUAUAAACAGAGGAAAAAAUAUAUCACAGUAGCUCAACAGGUAGAGCGGGUUGUCCAGUAAUCGGAAGGUUGCAGGUUCGAUCCCGGCUCCGGACAGAGAAUUCUGCUGUUGUGUCCUUGGGCAAGACACUUAACCCACCUUGCCUGCUGGUGGUGGUCGGAGGGACCGGUGGCGCCUGUGCUCGGCAGCCUCGCCUCUGUCAGUGCGCCCCAGGGCAGCUGUGGCUACAUCGUAGCUCAUUACUAUCAGUGUGUGAAUGUGUGUGUGAAUGGAUGAAUGAUGCACUGUAGUGUAAAGCACUUUGGAGUCCUUACUCUGAGAGGCGCUGUACAAGUGCGGGUCAUUUAUCAUUAUCGUUACUGCACAUGCUUCAGAUUAUAUCGCAAUAUAGAUUUGAGGCCAUAUCGCCCAGCCCUACCCCAGAGGUACCGAAGUCCGUAGAAGAAACCGCAGUGCCGACUAGACCGGUCUCGAGAUGUCUUCAGGUCACGACAGUUGUUAUUUGUGUCUUAGGAAUAACUCUUAAGGAGUUCAAGUUGGUUCAGCUUUAUUAUGAAGGAACCGUUUGCGGUCAGCUGUAGCGUGCAACAGACUUUUGACAGCUUGUCAAAAGGUGCUCUGCGUUAAAGAGGUUUUGCUUCGGAUGGCCGGUCCAAAGCUUUCUCAAGAACUCACAAGAACUAGAACUGACUCACGGUGAAGUGAGUCCUAUUUUAAUAAUCAUCAUAUUUAUAAAUAGAUAAAAAUGGUUGGAUAGCUUGUUUGGAAGUUAUUAUGAAUGGUGGUUGUGAGUGGUUUUGAGUUAAUCAGUGCUGUAUGGGAGGGGAGGGGGGGUUAUUUGGGUAUUUUGUUUUUGUUUGUAUGUAAAAAUUUGGAAAACUUAAUAAAAAAACUUGAAUAAUAAAAAAAAAUAAAAUCGUCAUAUUUUUAUUUACUAACAAAUCAGAAUUUGACAUGUAAAAAUGGUUUUACCAACAAACCUCAGAAAACACGCCUCGCGUCAGAUACAGGAGUUCUGAUUGGUGGAACAGAAAGCAGUGCAUCAGGAUAUUAGCUUAGCCUUGUCAUCAUCACGUGUCUGAGUGUGUGAGCUGUCAGUAGAUAGUGAUUCACUUGUUAAGUCCAAAAUUACUGAUCAUAACAUAUUAAUAUUCAUUUCAACCUCAGUAAUUUAAACACAGAUUAAUCAAAACAUUGUUAUUAUUCUUCAACCAUUGUUGUUCAUUCAACCAUGUGAUUAUUUACCCAUCCUGUUCAUUAUAUGAUUUAAUCUUGAAAGUUCAUCCGUCUUGUGCUGUGAAUAAAAACCAGUCUUAGAUAAGAGUGAGCUUGGAGAGACCUUGGUGAAGCAACAGUAUCUUUCUUGCAGAUUAAAGCACCAGUUAAGACUUACGUCUCCAAAUGACCCGAUACUGAAGAGGUGAAUGAGACGUGAGAUGAAUGGUGUGUGUGUGAGUGAUGUUGUCAUCAGAACUCUCGUAUCCGGAGAAGCAAGUCUGAGUGGGAAGUGAUGUUUUGCUCUUAAGCUAUGAUCGGAGUUUCAUAAACACACGAGACGCCAUGUUGUCGCUCCACACAUACCCUUCAGGACGAGACCUCCGUACAGAUCCAGACUGCCAGGUCCUCUGACCCCCCUUUCGGUACCGGAGCCGAUGAAACAGCGUCAGCAGUACGACAGACUAGUCUUUGGAUUGUCUCCAGGUAAAAAGCGACAGUUGGUUGACAGCGUCAGAUGGACCCAGAGGGUCAGUGAGUUCAGCUUUUAUUCUGAAAGGAACCGUUGCUUGGUUGGUAAAAUGCAACAGAUUUUAUCCAGCUUGUUGGUUCUUUGCUUAAAAAGGAAGUCCGGGUGGCCGGUCCGAUACUUCUCUUAGAA